UUGACCUCAAAUCAGGUAGGACCACCCGCUGAACUUAAGCAUAUCAAUAAGCGGAGGAAAAGAAACUAACAAGGAUUCCCUUAGUAACUGCGAGUGAAGAGGGAAAAGCUCAAAUUUGUAAUCUGGCAGCCUUUGGCCGUCCGAGUUGUAAUCUAGAGAAGUGCUACCUGCGCUGGACCAUGUACAAGUCUCCUGGAAUGGAGCAUCAUAGAGGGUGAGAAUCCCGUCUUUGACAUGGACUGCCAGAGCUUUAUAGGUGCGCUCUCAAAGAGUCGAGUUGUUUGGGAAUGCAGCUCAAAAUGGGUGGUAAAUGCCAUCUAAAGCUAAAUAUUGGCGAGAGACCGAUAGCGAACAAGUACCGUGAGGGAAAGAUGAAAAGAACUUUGGAAAGAGAGUUAAACAGUACGUGAAAUUGCUGAAAGGGAAACGCUUGAAGUCAGUCGCAUCAGUUGGAAAUCAACCUCGCUUUUGCUCGGUGUACUUUCCGUCUGAUGGGUCAGCAUCAAUUUUGAUCGCUGGAUAAAGUUCUUGGGAACGUGGCAUCUUUGGAUGUGUUAUAGCCCUUGGACAUAUACAGUGGUUGGGAUUGAGGAACUCAGCACGCCGCAAGGCUGGGGGCUUGUCCCACAACACGUGCUUAGGAUGCUGGCAUAAUGGCUUUAAUCGACCCGUC
rnacentral:rRNA from 1 species